AUCAAGAUAACAUUGCUGACACCUGGAGAUGUUUAUCUUACAAACUAUUAAGCCUCCAUUAGGCUUUGAGGACUUCGAGCAAGCCUUCAGAUCUGCAGCUGAUGGAAAAUGCAGAGGUACUUGGCUUAUCAGAAAAGAAAGCAGCAAAGACAAUUUUAAAGCCUCCAAGGCCUGAAACAGCGCAGCACGUGGGUAAGGAGUACAGUGACUCAUCUCUUCCCUGGAACAGUGUGGACUAAUCCCAGCAGAAUUGCUGAAAUCACCCCGAAGUGAUGUAUUCAAGCACUGAAAAGGUGUGUCUGUAGGUGAAGAAGCAAAUGGCUGUAUCUGCAGCAGACAGCGACCAAGCACUGAACUGUGGAAACGUGAUCCUGAGAUGAGGCAGCUGGUGUUUCUAAGGAUGAACUAAAACCUAAGCAAACCCCUUUGAGGAUUGGAUCUCCGCCUUCCCAGCAAAUGAUCCUUCAGUUUCCAAUACGCCAAAACCUUCCUACUGCUGGAAAAUUUGCAUUGUUGUGUAUUUUUUCAGUUGCAACUGAACUGGUUUGAGUUUUGUCAUCUAAAUGAUCACAAAGGACUUCCUGAACAAAAAGCACGGGCAGCCUGACAUAGUGGAAGUCGCCUAUGACAGAGAGGUGUAACUGUGUGAUCCUUAAGGUCUCUUUCAACCCAAACCAUUCUACAAUUCUGUGAUUUGCUCAGAGCAGCAAUACUGGCUGCUAAUGAAAAUUUAGAGAGAAAAGAAAAAUGAUAGCACCCUUUCUUGCUGGGCUGUUUCCAAAGGCUCUGUAAUCCUCUCUUUUCCCUGCACACUUCUCUCUGCUGGGGUUUUCCCAGACCUGCUGUAUGUUCACUGAUUCAUCCUCUCCAUUGCCGAGACACCUAAAUGUUUCCAAAGGAAGGCAAGAAACCAGGUCAGCAGAGUGGAAGUAACCAAGGAAAAAAAAAUACAUAUUCUUUUAUGGGAAGAAAAGCCAAAGAAAGAAUACAGUAAAGUGGGAUUAAAAAGAAAACAUCCGCAGUGUGAAUUUGAAAACCGACGUCUGACAGCUGCAGUAUAUUCGGUGUCUAACAUCCCAACAACUCAAUAAGAAAAGCAAAGCUGAUGGUACAGGCUCUGAAAAUCCCUCAUCCAUUCUAUUUUGGGGUUACUCAGCACAGCUACUGAAAUACAGAGGCACUCAAUUACACUUGUCCCUUCAGAUUACUGGGGGGCAGUCCUAACUUGAGACUCAAGCUAAGGUGCCAUGGAAAAGAUGUCAAAAUAGACAGUAGAAGGAAAGUGGGUGUCUUCCCUGUUGUCUCCUUGUCCUUUCAUGGCCUGAAGGGAGGCUACCGCUCCAGCCCUACAUCCCUAGGCUGGUCUGCAGGACUUCAAAGGGAAUAUCUCCAAUCUGCAUAGACCAACCAUAGCAGAAACCUACUGAACUGAUGAGGGAGAAUUUCUUUUUUGUUGCUUCCCUUGAGCUCAUGCCUUUGAUUCUUUCCCUGUUCCUGUCCAGAAUUUGUUUUUCAAAGCCCACACAGCUGAUGGUGUGUGGCUCAUGUGCUUAUGGCGGUGAGUUCCUGAUCUCAAAUUGUGGACAUUUGAGGGCAAAAGUCUUUCAGACCUGACUCCACAAGCAUUUAUUGGCUCCUUCGGGACUGUGUUAGUACCCAUGAACACAGCUAGCUGACUCUGCCACCAGCAUCCCAUCUAACUCGGGCAAUCACAGCCAUGGCAAACAAACUUCACACAGAUUGAUUUCACUCUCAUUUUUGUGUCUCAAGCCAACUUGGAAUGUAAACCACGCUGCCCAAGGAAAGCUGGGGAAAUUGCCAGUGAAUGCAGAAAAAAGAAAAGGAAGGAAGAUGUGGAAAGCAGGAGGAGGCUGAUUCUGCACGGCCCAGAAGGUUUGGGUUUGAUCAUCAGGGAAGCCUGCCAAGAGGCAUCCUUUCUGGAAGCUGCUCUAAGUUCUCCCAGGAGCCUUCUCUUCUCCAGGCUGAACAACCCCAGCUCUCUCAUCCUGUCCUUGUAUGGGAACUGCUCCAGCACUCGGAUCAUCUCUGUGGCCUCCUGGACUCACUCCAACAGCUCCAUGUCCUUCCUGUGCUGAGGACUCCAGAACUGAAUGCAGGGCUCCAGGUGGGGUCUCAUGGAAGUGAAGCAGAGGAGCAGAAUCCCAUCCCUCACCCUGCUGGCCAAACUUCUUUUGAUGCAGCCCAGGAUAUGAUUGGCCUUCUGGGUCUGUGAGCACAUGUUGUUGGGUCAUGUCCAGCUUUUUGCCCAUCACUACCGCAAACCACGUCAAAUCAUGUCUUGCUUUUUUUAAAAAAAAACUCUGGGAAAAUUUUCUUUACUAAAAAGGUAAAAAAAUCAAAAUGUUUUUUUUCCAACAAGUGCCACUUCCUAAGAAUCAGAGUGAGACUUUGGAAGAAGGUGAGUGGCUGGGGACUUCUUGGCUUGGCCCUCAGCAGCGCAUGCUCUCCUGGGCUGUGUGUAGGCUCUGUGCAAUUUAGGUCUCUAGGUGAUAGGACAGGAAUAUUAGCCUUUUCUUCCUUCAAAUGUGUGUGAAGAUAAAGGCAAACAUGGUGGGGUGAAUGUCCUGUAGUGGUUGAUAGUGUGAUAAUAGGAGCCCUUGAUGGGAAAAUGCACUCCUAAGAAAAUAUGUUUUGUCUUUCUAUUAUUUGAUGCAAAUAAUUUGCUCUUUCAGAAAACAAAUUGCUCUGUGAUCUGAUCUGAUCUAAGACAGAUAUGUAAGAA